rnacentral:rRNA from 1 species
ACUGGGCGUAAAGCGUCUGUAGGCGGAUGUGUAAGUUGGGCGUGAAAGCUCCGGGCUUAACCCGGAGAGGCCGUUCAAUACUGCAUAACUUGAGGGUGUCAGAGGGGAGCGGAAUUCCCUGUGUAGCGGUAAAAUGCGCAGAGAUCGGGAGGAACACCAGUGGCGGAGGCGGUUCCCUGGGGCACACCUGACGCUGAGAGACGAAAGCUAGGGGAGCGAACAGGAUUAGAGACCCUGGUAGUCCUAGCCCUAAACGAUGAAUGCUAGGUGUGGGAUCGAAUGGUUCCGUGCCGGAGCGAACGCGAUAAGCAUUCCGCCUGGGGAGUACGGCCGCAAGGUUAAAACUCAAACGAAUUGACGGGGCCCCGCACAAGCAGCGGAGCGUGUGGUUUAAUUCGAUGCUACACGAAGAACCUUACCUGGGUUUGACAUGUAGGUGGUAGUGAAUCGAAAGGUGAACGACCCUUCGGGGAGCCUACACAGGUGCUGCAUGGCUGUCGUCAGCUCGUGCCGUGAGGUGUCGGGUUAAGUCCCGUAACGAGCGCAACCCUUGCUCCUAGUUGCAAGUGUCUAGGGGGACUGCCGGCGGAAAGCCGGAGGAAGGUGGGGAUGACGUCAAGUCAGCAUGGCCCUUAUAUCCAGGGCUACACACACGCUACAAUGGUCGGUACAAAGGGCAGCGAAACCGCGAGGCGGAGCGAAUCCGAGAAAAGCCGAUCGUAGUUCGGAUAGCAGGCUGCAACCCGCCUGC